GAUGAACGCUGGCGGCGUGCCUAACACAUGCAAGUCGAGCGAAGAUAGAGACGAGUAUUCGUACAAAUUUUUAUCUUAGCGGCGGACGGGUGAGUAACACGUGAGUAACCUGCCUUUCACUGGGGAAUAACAUCGAGAAAUCGGUGCUAAUACCGCAUAAUGUCACGAGACCGCAUGGUUUUGUGACCAAAGGAGUAAUCCGGUGAUAGAUGGACUCGCGUCCGAUUAGAUAGUUGGUGAGGUAACGGCCCACCAAGUCUACGAUCGGUAGCCGAACUGAGAGGUUGAUCGGCCACAUUGGGACUGAGACACGGCCCAGACUCCUACGGGAGGCAGCAGUGGGGAAUAUUGGGCAAUGGGCGAAAGCCUGACCCAGCAACGCCGCGUGAAGGAAGAAGGUCUUCGGAUUGUAAACUUCUUUGAUCAGGGACGAAUAAAUGACGGUACCUGAAGAACAAGCCACGGCUAACUACGUG
rnacentral:rRNA from 1 species